UUACCUAGUAGGUUGGGUUAGGCCACAUCAUGACUAGUGGAUUUUGGGUCAUGAUAGAUUGGUAUCAAAGCUCUAGGUUCAUAGGUUCUACAAGUCAUGAGCUAGCAUCUAGUAGAGUCUUGCGGAUCUGUAUGAUGACGUCCAUACCUAUCUUUGAGAGACUACAGGGCAUUUAGGAUAUACUUCUCGUCUUUCCUUCCUUAUCGUAUGGUUUUGAUUCAACUUCAAGCAUAACUCUUUGAAUUCCCUCCAUGCAUUCGUAUGCACAUAUGAGCGCUCGAUAUUAGCUGUGCAUUGACGAAUUAUUAUUCCAGGCAAGAGGUGCGAGAUGUGAUUUUAGUAUAAUGAUGAUGGACCAAUCUGGAAGACUUGAUGCCGGGUUUUGACUGUAGCUUGAGCAAAGAGGUGUUGGUUGUGUUAGCAAUUGCUUUUGGAUUUAUAUGUUUAGUAGUAUCCCUAUUAGUGGAAUUCUGUUUAGAUGGAUACAUGAUGAGUAUGAUGUGACUGUGAGAUAUGUUCAUAUGGUUUGAAUGUGACGAAAAGGGUUUGCUUGAGGUGUAGAAAGAACUAUUGGGUGCUUGAUUUUCAUCUUGAUUUGACGUAUAGUCUCAAGAUAUGGGUGUGUUGAAGGAUAUUUUCAUAUUGUUUAGCUGAGGAGUGAAGUAGAUUUUCAUGUCGUGAUGUGAGUCCAGACUCUAGAAGAUUAAGUGAUUGCGUAAUAGCUAAGACCGUGGAAGGGUAUAAAGAGAUAUUAGUUUGAGACGAAGCAGAUGGGUUAUCUCUUGCUGGUGUCCUGAGGUUUUUGUGAUCCUUAUAUUGUUUUGCAGUGAGUUCUCUUUUACCAGCAAAUUAUAUAUGUUGCAAUUUGAGUUUGGAUCAUUUAUGAGAGUCAGUUUGACUGUUACAAGGGUGAAUGUGAUAUUUGUAGAUGAUUUGAGAUAUUAUAUGGUUUAUGUUACAUAAGCUUAUGAAGGAUUUAGUUGAAUUUCAUAGUGGGAUUUUGGGCAGCAAUAGAGUAUGGGUAUUAUAAGUUAUCAAAUGUUUUAUAUCGACGGAGUGGAGGCGUGUUCUAUCGACUGGUUGAUUGCACGGUUAUGUGUUGCAUUAGUUUCAGUUUGAGGGCUGGUGAAUCAGUUAUGGCUUACAGAGGGUUGAGAUCGAGGAUGACCCGAGUAAAGGAAUUUCUGGAUAAAGGUUUUAUUACACUUUAUAGGUAUAUGGAAAUCAUGGAAUGAUUAAGUGGUUAUUCGUGAAGGACGCAUCUUUUAUGGAGUAGAAAUCUGCUCGGUUGCUUAGAGGCAUAAAUUACUUCUUAUGGUGUGGGGAUGAAAAUAGUGCACAUGUCGUUCGGUCUGUUUGGGAGUUGCAAUUGAUAUUUGAGUAGAGUGGAUGACUUUCGAGAACGGUUUUAAUGGAUUCAAGAUUUAUAUGUAGAAAUUGGGAAUUUUUAGGAUUUGUAUGUGGCUAGAAACUGUGAUUAAUAUUGGAUUGUGGCGAGACUUGUGGCACUUCUAUAUCAUUAUGGAUUUUGCAUUUCAGCACUCAAGAAGGAAGAAAACGACUUUAGACUCGCAGAAGGUCUCUUUAGAGCGGGUAUCUUGGUCGUGGUACUUUUGAGCUGCAUAAGAGAGAAUUUAGUGGCGUAUUGGCCUUAGGGUGGUGUAGUUUUAUGCUAGGAUCUAGUGGGGUGAAUUUUGGUUAUGGAUCGUGAUGUUCUGACAAGGAGAAGUAUUAACUUGAGGGUAACUCAGAAAGAACUAGGAGAAAUAGGGCAGCUUGGUAAUAGGUUGUAUCAGCAUGAUAAUGGACAUGAUUGGUUCUUUUGGUUCUUAUGACGUGGUGAGUCUCUACAUGUGCCUCAUUGCAGUGCUCUUGGGUUUUGGCGACCUGUGUGGCUUGGUUAAGUUAAAGAGAUUUAGUUAUGAUGACUUGAGGGGGUUUCAAGAUGUUGUCAGUGGUUUCUACCAUGGUUUGAUGUGCAUAUCUCCUACUAGUGUAUGAAACAUGUUGUGUAUUGUGAUUUUCUCCUAUAUUAGAUUGAAUGGAAGGUUUCUGACUGAUCGAGUAUGUAUUCUUCUUGGUACUCAAAGUUGAUUAUGAGGUUCUUGUACUCUUCACAUAAUGGCAUAAUGGGUGUGGUACGUUAUGUAGGAUUGGUAUUUGCAUGUGCAAGGUCACGAUUCAGUUUAAAAGGAAGGUUCUAAGUUCUUUGGCAGUAUAGACGAUUUCAGAUGACUAUGUGAGUGAUAUUACUACUUGCUAUUGCCUGAGAACUGUGCUCAUUUUAGAAGGCGCAUUCUGUUUUGAUUUGUGGAUACUUCAUAGGUAAUGCGGCACUCUCUUGGUUGAUCGGUUGCUGAUUUUCAUAUAUUGCUAUAUGGAACGAAAAAAUAUGGAAGUGUUCCUCGUAUGAUGAUCAUGCAUGAGAGAUUUGUUGGGUAUUCAGGGAGUGGAGUUGUGAUCAGAUAAAUGAUUCUUGUGCUCUAUGGAUUUGGAAACUAUGAGUUCUGAUGAGUAGACUGUUUCAUGGUUAUGAACUGUGAAGUUGUGGCCAAAGCUAGCCCGUUGAUAGUAUGUGUUAUGAUUCAGUCAUCAUGGACUUUUGGAGAUUUAUUUAUCUAUAUGUAGGUGACUAUAGCUGAGUUGGGGGUCCAUUAGUAGGCCAAGUCUGGAUGUGUAUUCUACACCGAGCCAAAUUAGUUGGCUCCAUACUGCUAUUUUUGAGGGAUGUGCCAUUCAAUUAGAAUUGAUUUUAUUCGUAUCGGAUAUGCUCUAUGUGUUACUUUUCUACGCUACAAGGAGUUGCGAUUCGUUGGUUAUAUGCACACAAGGUACAGUUCUAUUGGGGUCUUAUAGCGAAUUUUGAGAGAGAUGGGUAUCUAGGUAUUGCAUGAUCGAUUGCGUAUUGGUUAUGUUUUUUCGGAUUUUAUGUGGAAUUAUGUCAUUUUCUUCCCCGUGGUUAUAGUAAUGCAUUUUGGGUACUUGAUGUCAAAUUGUACGUGGUUAUUGAUUUUGAGUAGGGUAGAUUGAGGUAUAUAAUAUGUACCAGUGUUUGGAUGGGGUCACGCAUUGUAGCAGAGUUAUAUUAAGGUAUGAUCUCUUUGCGUUAGAUUCGUGUGUUAUGGUUCUACGGUGUGUAAAUGGAUUUUCAACAUUUUGUUAUGGCGUUACUUGUUAAUCUUGUGGGCAAUUCUCUCGUUUGAGUCAUUUUUUCCACGAUUGAGUGCAUUGGAAUAUUGCUUAUUGGUGCACAGAUUGCACGAGUUGUGGCUUUAAAUUGUAUUGAUGUGACAUGUUACUACGUUGGUCGUGUUGUAUGAUAUGACAAAAUUGGACCUAGAAUGGAUACUAUCGAAAUUGGUUGCAGCAUGGUUGGAAGGAUAAUAUGGAAAACAGCUCAGAAAUAGACUAUAGUUCUUGUCGAAUGAGAGAGAGAUCCAUGACUUGUUGAUCUGAUGAAUGUUUAUGAGUUCCGUAUGUUUCUUUCAUUUUCAGCAGUAUACAAAGGUUUUAGAACGGGGUUCUGUUUGAUAUGAGUUUAUUACCACUUUUGGCUAUUUGGAGCAGCUACUGUGAUCAGAAAUCAUUAGUAUGAGUAGUUGAGUUAUGUGGUAUGUCAUGUGAUCACAUCUUGUAUAGCGUUGUUGGGCUAUUUGGAGCAACUACUGUGAUUAGAAUCAUUGGUAUGAGUAAUUGAGUUAUGUGUUAUGUCAUGUGAUUACAUCUUGUGUUAUGAUUACGGCUUGAUGCAUCUUGUUCAGGCUUAUAAAAUGUGUAGAUUGUGAAGUCUGGGUCUUGUAGGAAAUUUCGGAUGUCGGAAAGUUGGAUUCCAAGGUUUAUGGGCUAAGGUUGAAUUAAUGAUUUUCAGUUACGUUGUGUUGUCGGGCCCAUAUGGAAUAGGGUGACAAGGCAAGGUUAUACGGUGAUCUGACGACUUAAAAACAACUCUAGGCACAUUCGAGAACAAACGUAUAUUUAAGUGGGGGAGAAUGUAACGACCAUACCGAUCAUUUUGAGCAUUUGCAUUUUGCUUAGUAGUUUACAGGCAUGAGUAUCUCCGUAUGAUGUAUUAUGAAUUAUGUGAAUCGUCGCAUUUUGAUUUCAGGUUAUUCAGAAUCGAUUUGGAAGAAUGAAUUUCAUGGUUUAAGCUUUAACUUGGAAGAGUUGACCAAGUUUGACUUUUUAGUAUUUGAUCUCGGAUUGGAGCUUUGAUGAUAUCGGAUUCGAAUUGUGGUUCCUGGAAUUUGAAAAGCUUCGUUAUGUCAUAUGGGACUUAUUGGUAUGAUUGGAUGGGGAUCCGAGAGACUCG
rnacentral:lncRNA from 1 species